rnacentral:lncRNA from 1 species
UAUGCACAGCUUCACCGUGUUCUUCAGAAGCAACAUGGACAGUUUGAGGGCUAUGCUGAGCUUGGAAUGUACCUCCAGAAGCACAAUAUUCACCUUGGGGAUUAAGCUGAAAAGCAAGAGGUGCAGCACUAAAAACAUCUUCAAGACCCCCAUGUAGAGCUUGAGCAACUCCUUCACUAGCAUUGGUGUUAUCAAGUCCAACAGGUCCCACCACAUAAGCAUUUUCUUUCUCUGCUGGACAUGAUACUUGUGAUACAACACAACUACCGUCAGGCACAACUGGACUUGUGACAGCUGAAUUAGUUCUCUCAAUUGAUAAUACCGUAGAUGGAGUAGACGCACCAGCCCAUA